CACAUUUCCAUGUCUUUUUUGCCUUUCACAGGGAAAGACAGAACACCUGUAUAAUUGGAUGCCCUGCAAACUAUGUGGAAAAACGUGGCCUCCAACCUGGGAGGCUGCUUGAGACUUUCACACACACAUUUUCUCACUCCAGCUCUAUCAAAUUCUAACAUGAUCCUCAUGUUCAAAGAGGGCCUUGUCUCUAUCCCACCUGUUCACUCUUGCUCUCAGAAAGCUUUCAGACACACACACUGACACUGACACAAAUACAAUAUUGAAUUUUAAUGUUUAUUUUAAUUUGUUGAAUAUGAAUAUUUUAAUAAAGAUUUAUGAAGCUUU